CUUAAAUUGAAGAGUUUGAUCAUGGCUCAGAUUGAACGCUGGCGGCAGGCCUAACACAUGCAAGUCGAGCGGAAACGAGUUGUCUGAACCUUCGGGGAACGAUAACGGCGUCGAGCGGCGGACGGGUGAGUAAUGCCUGGGAAAUUGCCCUGAUGUGGGGGAUAACCAUUGGAAACGAUGGCUAAUACCGCAUAAUAGCUUCGGCUCAAAGAGGGGGACCUUCGGGCCUCUCGCGUCAGGAUAUGCCCAGGUGGGAUUAGCUAGUUGGUGAGGUAAUGGCUCACCAAGGCGACGAUCCCUAGCUGGUCUGAGAGGAUGAUCAGCCACACUGGAACUGAGACACGGUCCAGACUCCUACGGGAGGCAGCAGUGGGGAAUAUUGCACAAUGGGCGCAAGCCUGAUGCAGCCAUGCCGCGUGUAUGAAGAAGGCCUUCGGGUUGUAAAGUACUUUCAGCAGUGAGGAAGGU
rnacentral:rRNA from 1 species